rnacentral:rRNA from 1 species
GACGAACGCUGGCGGUGUGCUUAACACAUGCAAGUCGUACGGUAAGGCCCUUUCGGGGGUACACGAGUGGCGAACGGGUGCGUAACACGUGAGUAACCUGCCCACAACUUUGGGAUAACGCUAGGAAACUGGUGCUAAUACUGGAUAUGUGCUCCUGCUGCAUGGUUGGGGUUGGAAAGCUCCGGCGGUUGUGCAUGGACUCGCGGCCUAUCAGCUCGUUGGUGGGGUAGUGGCCUACCGAGGCGGCGACGGGUAGCUGGCCUGAGAGGGUGACCGGCUACAUUGGGACGGAGAUACGGCGCAGACGCCGAGGGGAGGCAGCAGAGGGGAGUAUUGCACAAUGCGCGCAAGCCUGAGGCAGCAACGCCGCGUGCGGGAUGACGGCCUUCGGGUUGUAAGCCGCUUUCAGCAGGGACGAGGCUUUUUGUGACGGUACCUGCAGAAGAAGCACCGGCUAACUACGUG